rnacentral:rRNA from 1 species
AACGAACGCUGGCGGCAGGCCUAACACAUGCAAGUCGAACGCCCUAGCAAUAGGGAGUGGCAGACGGGUGAGUAACACGUGGGAACCUUCCCUAUAGUACGGAAUAUACCAGGGAAACUUGGAGCAAUACCGUAUACGCCCGAGAGGGGAAAGAUUUAUCGCUAUAGGAUGGGCCCGCGUAGGAUUAGCUAGUUGGUGAGGUAAUGGCUCACCAAGGCGACGAUCCUUAGCUGGUUUGAGAGAACGACCAGCCACACUGGGACUGAGACACGGCCCAGACUCCUACGGGGGGCGA